CUUUUCUCGAGGGUUGGAUAAAAGCAUAAACCUCACUUCCAACGGAAACCUCGAGAGCGCUCUCUCGCUCGCCCAUACUCUCCUCCGCCGCGUCUCCAUCCUCUCCUCGCCGCCGCCGCCGUCGUAUUCUCCUCCGUUCCGCUCCACCACUCCGGCGGACCAGCCAUGGAGGAGUACCUGGCUAACAUGAAGACCCUCCGCUCCUACAUGAGCGAUCUGGAGGAGGAAGCGACGAAGCGGUCGGCGGAGGAGCAGCGGCAGCGCACUGCCAUCGACGCCCACGGCGCCGACCUCGCCCAAGUGAGGGCGCAGACGAAGCAGGCUAGCGAGGAGUCCGAGCAGCUUUCGAAGGCGAGGGCGGAGCUCUGCGUAGAGAUAUCCGAGAAGCAGGGCAGGAUUGCCACGCUGGAGAUUGAGUGCGCCACGCUGAAGCAGACCUUGGAGCUCCUCCAUCAGGAAAUCGCAAGUACUUCUUCAAAACUCAUUGAGAAAAGAUUGUUCUACACAAAGACAAUAGAAAGCCUGACGGUCAAAUUACAAGAGCAACAGGAAUGGCUUGGUGCAUUUAAGCUUAAGGUGAUUACAAUUGAACCAUCUGUUGAAGAGUCUCAGAGCAAGCAAAACCUUCAAGGACAAAGCCAUGGAAUACUUAACUCAUGUGGGAGCCUAGAUAAGGGAAAUGACAUUGGAAGCAAGCAAGGAGAACUCAGGAUUCAACUGGAGUCAACUAAACAUAAGAUCGACGAGAUCAAAGAAAAACAAUCAGCACUUCUUACGGAAAUCAGCGAAAGUAAGCAGGUCAUAGAGCAAGAGAAAAAUGCAAUUUCUGGCUUUCUUGUAUGUUUAGGCUCCACUACAACAGAUGGAUAUGAAAUCCUUAGAGGAGGAACACAAAGCUCUACAAGCUGAUAAAGCUGGAGAAAUUGAGUACUUUCAGUCUCUUGAAGAACGUAUAAAUGAAAUGAAGGGAGUUUCUGAUGCAGUAAAAUGCCGUUGCGGAUUGGAGUACAAGGUCGAACUAGGUGGCGAAGCCAUGGAUCUAAGCUAAACUUGUCCGUAGUGCGUAAUGGCCACAGUUACACACUGUAAAAUGCUUAUAUACAUGUUACUGCUUUGGGAUAGUUUGACAACUUCAUAUCGAGAUUAUAUUGAUGACGUCUAGUCGUCUACCAGUGGAAAGAGAUACUAAAUUGCAUAAGCUAGAACAUUGUCAAUGAAGUUAUCCAGAGUAGAUUAUAUUCAUUGGAGAGAUGUAACAUGGUUGAGAUAAGCUAAAAUUUUAUGCGGCUCA